UCUGGCUCUAGGUCGGGGACAACAGUUGGAAACGACUGCUAAUACCGGAUAUGCCGUAAAAGGUGAAAGAUUAAUUGCCUGGAGAUGAGCUCGCGUCCGAUUAGCUAGUUGGUGGGGUAAGAGCCUACCAAGGCGACGAUCGGUAGCUGGUCUGAGAGGACGAUCAGCCACACUGGGACUGAGACACGGCCCAGACUCCUACGGGAGGCAGCAGUGGGGAAUUUUCCGCAAUGGGCGAAAGCCUGACGGAGCAAUACCGCGUGAGGGAGGAAGGCUCUUGGGUUGUAAACCUCUUUUCUGAAGGAAGAAAAAAAUGACGGUACUUCAGGAAUCAGCAUCGGCUAACUCCGUGCCAGCAGCCGCGGUAAUACGGAGGAUGCAAGCGUUAUCCGGAAUGAUUGGGCGUAAAGCGUCCGCAGGUGGCAUUUCAAGUCUGCGGUCAAAGGUCGAGGCUCAACCUCGAAUCGGCCGUGGAAACUGAGAAGCUAGAGUGUGGUAGGGGCAGAGGGAAUUCCCAGUGUAGCGGUGAAAUGCGUAGAGAUUGGGAAGAACACCGGUGGCGAAAGCGCUCUGCUAGGCCAAGACUGACACUGAGGGACGAAAGCUAGGGGAGCGAAUGGGAUUAGAUACCCCAGUAGUCCUAGCCGUAAACGAUGGAUACUAGGUGUAGCUUGUAUCGACCCAAGCUGUGCCGUAGCUAACGCGUUAAGUAUCCCGCCUGGGGAGUACGCGCGCAAGCGUGAAACUCAAAGGAAUUGACGGGGGCCCGCACAAGCGGUGGAGUAUGUGGUUUAAUUCGAUGCAACGCGAAGAACCUUACCAGGACUUGACAUGUCGCGAAUCUCAGUGAAAGCUGGGAGUGCCUUCGGGAGCGCGAACACAGGUGGUGCAUGGCUGUCGUCAGCUCGUGUCGUGAGAUGUUGGGUUAAGUCCCGCAACGAGCGCAACCCUCGUUUUUAGUUGCCAGCAUUAAGUUGGGACUCUAGAGAGACUGCCGGUGACAAACCGGAGGAAGGUGGGGAUGACGUCAAGUCAGCAUGCCCCUUACGUUCUGGGCUACACACGUACUACAAUGCUACGGACAAAGGGCAGCAAGCCAGCGAUGGCAAGCCAAUCCCAUAAACCGUGGCUCAGUUCAGAUUGCAGGCUGCAACUCGCCUGCAUGAAGGCGGAAUCGCUAGUAAUCGCAGGUCAGCACUACUGCGGUGAAUACGUUCCCGGGCCUUGUACACACCGCCCGUCACACCAUGGAAGUUGGCCACGCCCGAAGUCGUUACCCUAACCGUUCGCGGAGGGGGAUGCCGAAGGCAGGGCUGAUGACUGGGGUGAAGUCGUAACAAGGUAGCCGUACCGGAAGGUGUGGCUGGAUCACCUCCUUUUAGGGAGACCGAACCCAUCAAGUAACCGAAAGCAAAAAGCAAAUAGGUAACAUGAUGAGGUCAUCCUAGGUCGGAGCGGAGUUAAGUAGUGAGGCUUUUCAACUAUGAUUAGGUUUGGUAAAGGGGCUAUUAGCUCAGGUGGUUAGAGCGCACCCCUGAUAAGGGUGAGGUCCCUGGUUCGAGUCCAGGAUGGCCCACCUGUAAAGCAGUGACCAGUAAGCAGUGACCAGUAAGCAGUAAAGAGCGUAACUGAUAACUGAGGAAAGUUAGCUGAAAAUUAGGGGGUUUAGCUCAGUUGGUAGAGCGCCUGCUUUGCAAGCAGGAUGUCAGCGGUUCGAGUCCGCUAACCUCCACAUGAGUAACAGCCAAAACAAACAACAAACAGAAUAACUCAGCACCUAGACAAAGGAAAAUUGUCGGUAUGCUGAAGAUAUUAUUCAGCCAGAACCUUGAAAACUGCAUAGCAACAACAAAAAGCAGGCAGAUACCAAAAGUAUCUGU
rnacentral:rRNA from 2 species